UUGUUUUGCUUACAGACAUAUUGAAAAUGGAGCUGUGAUUUAUGCAAUCUUUACGCCAAGGGAAAACCUGAAACAGUUUCCUCAAACACCAAAGCGAGAGGUUGUUGAAACCCUUGGAAGCGAUAUUGUUCGAUGCCACAUCAUGCUCAAGGGAGAAUUUCAGGUGACGGUGAAGUUGGCAAGUGACACGAUAUCGAGUCUGAGACUCAAGCUGAGUAACAAAAGUGGAAUCCCAGAACAUGUCCUUCAUUACAAAGGUCCACAGGAUGGUGGUGACACUCUGGAGAGAUGUGGGAUCUCUGAAGGGUCAACCGUUAACUUCUCUUUGUCCUCAUUUCCUCACGAGACUUCAUACAACGAGACAUUUUUCAUUAAUGAUUUUUUGCCUUCAGUCCCACAAACUCAGAAAGGAAUCAGUGUGUUCUUGUCUUGACUUUAUGCUGUUGUAAGUAUCAAUGUAUAGA